GUCGGAGUGGCGGAAUUAGGCAGACGCGCUGGGUUUAGGACCCAGUGGGGCAACCCGUGAGAGUUCAAUUCUCUCCUCCGACA
rnacentral:tRNA from 1 species